GAAUGAAUGCCUCUUGAGGGCCAACUGUGAGCAAGAUGCCAGGGAUGCAAAAAUGGACAGAGUCCCUGCCCUCAGAGAGCUCAUGGUCUGGUAGAGCAGACCACCGCUAGCCAAAAAAGUCACCCAGUGAAUACGAUACUGUAAUUGUGACAAAGGUUGUGGAAGGACGGGCUCGUAAGGCUCUCGGGAAUUAUAAUGGAGGAAUGGUUUAUUGGGUAGGUCAGUGAUGACUUCCCUGAGGAAGAGAGGAUUUAAUUGAAAUCCCAAAGGAAGGGUAGGAAUUAACUGGGAGGAAGGAUUUGGAGGAGGGGUGGAGAGAGAGGCCCGUAUGUCUGGGUUUCAGAGGGUUGGUGAGUAUGCUGUGAGAUGGGGUAAGAGGUUAGUAGGGUCAGGCCACGCCGUGCCCGGUAGACCAAGUACAGGGUUUUGGUCUUUAUCCUGUUGAAGGGUAUUGAGCAGGAAAAGACGCAAUGAGAUUUACAUUUUGAAAAAGUCACUUUGUGACAUGGUGUGUGCCACGGCAGGCUGGUAUCAGGAGGUAUGUGGGAGCCAGGGUCAGACUGUGCAGAACGUCAGGAAUCCAAGUAGAUAAGAGAGAAUCCAGGAAGAAGAAGGCAGGCCCAGCCCAGGCUGGGCAGCUGAGCGCUAGAAAGCAGGAGACUGGACGUGAGCUCCUUCUGAGGCAGGGGCUGUCAGCCAAGGAUCUCCGAGGUACACCCGCCCAGGAAGUAACCGCAGGUUGGACUAGGGAGGUAGCUUCACCUGGUGGGAAAGGGGACUAAAAAAGGAGUGCUGGUUUUGUCGACCUCUCUGUUUUAAUUCUCAACUCAGAGAAGCUCUGGCCUGCCCCUCUUCUGCUGGACUCUGUAUUCCUAUUGUUUUACCAUAGAAACUGCUGGAGAAAUUUUGGCUAUUGUUUCAAGAGUUCCAAAAAAGAACUGUGUCAUUCCUAUGGAGAGCAGAGAACUCUUGUUGAAUGAAAUCGAGAUAGCUUUUGAGCUGGGAAUUGAGAGAUAACCAAAUGGAGAGGGCAAGAAGAGCCCAUGUGUUAACACAGGGAAAAGAGGGAGAACACGCCGUCAAGAGGAAAUGGCCUGAGCAAAGGCGUGAAGGGAGAGGAGGCAGAGCUACCCGUGAGAGGGCCAGUGGUCAGGGAGGACACUGAGAGGCAGGAGGGCAGCUGCUGAGAGCACGGGCUGUGGACCCUACUGCCUCUGCAAAUCUCAGCUCUAACGCCCCCUACCUUAUGACCUCAGGUGGAUUCCCGUACUGCCCUGUGACUCAGUUUCUUCACCUAUAAAAGGGGAAUAAGACCACCUACUUGAUAGGGUCAUUAUGAGCACUAAAUCCUGCACAAGGCAAUGCAGAAGCAUCAAACCCAGGGAAGGAUGAUCAGUCCUGGGUGCCAGAAGGUAAUUCUGGUGGUGUUUGGAGGAGGGACUGCAGAAGAUCAGAGACAGCGAGGCUCUUGCAAAGCCCUAAUAAUGGGAAAUGAGGACCCACAGAAGGAGAGUCCUUCUAGCAAGUUGAUGACAUUUGGUUUUCCGACCUCCUAGACGUGGAAGGUUAAAAGAAGGCAAUUGGAAGAAGAAGGGGUGCUGUGAGCAGUGAGCAGCCUGAGCCUGUUGGUGAGGGGGGAGUCCAAGAAUGGUCAAAAAGCACCAUCAGAGCUCAGACAUGUAGCGUGAUCGGGGGACAUUUAAUGUACAGGCAAGUGGAGCUGGCCCCGCAAUAGCCCACACAACGUGGCUCUUGUAAACGAGCUGUCCGAGGCUUGUCAGCCUGUGUGUCAAAUGAAGCUGUCCCCACCUGGCUCUGGCAAGGUCCUGCUCCACCCACACCUGGCCCCAAGCCUUUCUGGUUUCCACUGGAGUCGCUCACCCGCAGGGCAGGUGGUGCCCUCCACGAGACUGUCAGUCUCCAUGCUCCCUCCUGAUACUUCCCAAGCAACCAGGCCUUGAGGGGCCACUCUGCACAUCCCAAGUGAAGCCUGAGAGAAAAGCCCUUUCUCCAGCUCCAAUAACCACAGCAAACAUUUCCAUGGCCCUUUCUACAUGCCGGGCACCAUUCUGAGAACUUCACAUACACAAACUCACCAUAUUUCACCAAUUCAAAGACAUUUUCCUCCCACUCCCUACAUUUUAAGGUCUCUAAAAUUGGGACACAUCUUACAAUCCAUGAGAUGAUAGAUCCCGUAAAAUUCAGCAUUCAGUCCUGCCAGCAGCCCUGUGUGGAGGGCACUAUUGCUGUCCCAUUUAAGGAAGAGGCACAGGAAACUUAUGUAACUUCUGUUAUGUGAUGGAGUGGGGACUUGGCCAGAGCCCAGGGCCCAGGUUCUUCAUGGCUAUACUUUGUGUCACACCUUGUUCACCUGGACUCCAAACCACACCCUUAUCUGCCCUUCCCUGGGGUCCACUGCCUUGCAACCCAGGGGCCUAUAAGCACACACUAGCAACCAAGAUCUUUCAUCUUUUUCAGUGCAGCAAAAGGCCACCUUGAAUGUCCACUUAUGUGGUUACACACUCAGAAGGGCCACAGGUCACCUGUUCCACAAACAGUUUGGCUCUGAACCCUUAUUUGGUCUUUCCUGGACAGCUUGUCUAUAUCCUAAGUGCUUUUAGAUGCAAGAAAAGGAUCCCUUGACUGCCACAAUCUCACAAGAAAACAGUUAUUUUCUUAUCCAGAAGUCCAGGACGAGGGGAGAGGGGUCCUCUCCAAGCUUAACUCGGUGGCUUAGGGAUGCUUCCAAGGACUCUGGUGUCUGCCAUCCUCAGAGUGUAACCAUGGCCCCCCUCACAGGUGAACACAUCUAUGUCCAGCAUAGAAGAGUCAUUAUCUCCUUCUCCUCUCCUUUUAUUUGAACUCAAAACAAAAUAAAACAAACAAGCAAAAAAACCCAGAAAUAAAAACAAGCCCCCACCCCCUUCCUGGAAGUCCCUCAGAAUGCACCAUUGGCCAAGUUUGAGUCACGUGCUCAGGCAGUAGCUGCAAGGCAGGCUGGGAAAGCUAGUGCCUGGCCUUAUCAGCCUGGACAGUGGGAUAUGAUAAAUGAGCACAGUUUUGUAAAAUCAUGGAUAUUCAAUGAUGGCAAACCUGAAUCCCUGAAAAGGCUUAGUUGAGCUCAUCAUCUUUGGCGUAAGCAGCGAGGGUAGUAGGCUAUUUUAGAAAGUGCUCUGCCCUUCAUGCUUACAAAUAAAAGUUUUCAUCCUUAUGUGUCAGUUUUCUGGAAAAUUCAUUGCAUAGAACCUCUCAUGCUCCAACAAUUCCAUUUCAAUUAGGUGUUAUUAUUGUAAGUGACUAGCUUGCUCUACCAACUGGCCAAUCAUACCAAAGACAU